rnacentral:rRNA from 1 species
UACGUAGGGGGCAAGCGUUGUCCGGAAUCAUUGGGCGUAAAGCGCGUGUAGGCGGUUCGGUAAGUCUGCUGUGAAAGUCCAGGGCUCAACCCUGGGAUGCCGGUGGAUACUGUCGGACUAGAGUACGGAAGAGGCGAGUGGAAUUCCCGGUGUAGCGGUGAAAUGCGCAGAUAUCAGGAGGAACACCGGUGGCGAAGGCGGCUUGCUGGGCCGGUUCUGACGCUGAGGAGCGAGAGCGUGGGGAGCGAACAGG